CUUCAUAUAGUGGACAUUUCAAUAAAACAUGUAGUUCAUCUUCAAUACUAUUAUUACAAUAAAAACAUGUUCUUUCGUGUAUUUCUUUUCUUUCAUAUCUACCUGUUUCUAUUCUAAGGGGAGCAACUCCACAUCUAAAUUUAGCAAAAGAACUUCUAAAUUUAAGUGGCAUUUUACAUUUUAAGUAAGGUUCAGUACAAUAAUCAUAUUUAGAUAACUUAUAAGUUCUUAAUUUAUUACCUUGAGCAUACGCAGAUACUCUAUUACUCCAUUCUAUUUUAUAUUUAUCAAACAUUAUUGUUUCUAAU
rnacentral:lncRNA from 1 species